AUUGAACGCUGGCGGCAGGCCUAACACAUGCAAGUCGGGCGAGUGGCGGACGGGUGAGUAAUGUCUGGGGAUCUGCCUGAUGGAGGGGGAUAACUACUGGAAACGGUAGCUAAUACCGCAUACCAUCAGAUGAACCCAUAUGGGAUUAGCUUGUAGGUAGGGUAACGGCUUACCUAGGCGACGAUCCCUAGCUGGUCUGAGAGGAUGAUCAGGCACGCUGGGACUGAGAAACGGCCCAGACUCCUACGGGAGGCAGCAGUGGGGAAUAUUGCACAAUGGGCGCAAGCCUGAUGCAGCCAUGCCGAGUGUAUGAAGAAGGCCUUCGGGUUGUAAAGUACUGUCAGUCGGGAGGCGUUACCGACAGAAGAAGCACCGGCUAACUCCGUGCCAGCCGCCGCGGUAAUUC
rnacentral:rRNA from 1 species